UUUAUUCUCUUUUACCCAAUGGCCUCGUUUUCGUGUCAAAUACUUACUCAUGUUUUGUGCUUAGUAGGAUUGAAAGUUACUUUGUUAUUGAGCCAACGAACAGCAAGAAACAAUUAGAAAACAUGGAAAUAUAAUCUUUAUCUGCCCUUGACAUGCUAAGUAUAGGUAAUCAUGCGAUGGCGAGUACAAUUCGGGAUUAAUAGUACGAGUGAUGUUUGGAAAUUUUGCCAAAAUUGAACGAGCCGCCGGGGCGGGUCCAAUUUGGCAAAUUUCCAAACAUCACGAGUACUAUUAAUCCCUAAUUGUACGAGCAACAUCGCAUGAUUACUUGUUUAUUAUUAGCAUGACAAAAUUGGAUACGUACUUCUCAAUGUCAACAUCGUAUUCUCUCGCCAAAGCCCAUCAGUCCUGCCAGACUUUCAACCAAAAUUUGGUGCUUCUGUUUGUAUUUUCAUUUAAUUCUUUUGUUUCAGCAAAAUUUGGUGCUUUUGUUCGCACUUUAAUCUAGUUCCUCCACGGCAAUUUCAUUUCACACUUGUGAUUAAAAUACGUUUCCGCCAUUUUGUUUGUUUUGGGAAAAUCAUUAAUUAUACUGCAGUACAAUUAAUGAAAUAUUUGUACUCCUCUCAACCAAUCAGCAUCCAGUAAUUUUGUCAUGCUAAUAAUAAAGUAAGUUAACAUGGAAACGAGGCCAUUGAGUAAAAGAGAAGAAUCGGUAAGGUCUAUUUGGAAAAAAAACAUGCACG